GUAGUUAAAAUAUUUAGAUUGGGGAUGCACCGAAUCCAGGAUUCGGCUUCUGCUGAAUAUUGGGUUUUUUGACGGGUUCAGUUUCUGCCAAACCC